UUUAUUUUAUAAUCUAGAUCUAUUUGUAAUAAUAUUUACUGAAUUUGCCUGGCUAUCACCUGUUUCGUGACCUAGAUAAUAAUAGGAUACUCGAUUGGCUAGCUGUAAUAGUAAUACUAAUCUAAUAGUAGUGAGUCUUACGAGUUACGUAGAUCUAUAGGUCGAAUGUUCAAUGUUGCACUUUUGAUUCACGAUUGCGUUGUUUACCAACCGGCUAGAUUUCUCUUUUAAAACUCAAGCUCUAGAUACGAUAAAGAUCAUGUGCCGUUAUAUAGACCUGAUGUUUUAAAUACCCAUUGUCAUUGUCCUUUUUGUGUUAUACUAUAGUUAUAAUUACUUAUAUAGAUCUAGAUCUAGAAUCCAACUAAAUUUCUUAAGUUAGUCUUAUUUUAUCAUUCUAAGAGUAAAAGACUUAGUGAGACUUAGUCUUAUAAUUAUAUAAUCAAGAAUGUAGAUCAGAUAUGUAAACUCUAUCUUGAAGAAUAAUCAGUGGUGUAAUUUACACAGGUCGACAGUUAAUGAGAAUCUCAUGUGGCUUGCAAAACUACAAAAUUUCUUUACUAGUGGUAUAGUAAGGUACACCUGUGGACCGGGUUCACAAAUAUUUUGGUGCUUGUCCCCUAACCCCAGAGAUAGGACAAAUUUAGUGUGUAACAAAGAAAUUGAGCAUAGGUAUUCCAAUGCAAAUAGUGUGUACACACCUUUUUUGUAGUAAGUAAUAAUGUCUUAAAACUGGAUAUUUGUGUAACUUCUUAACAGUAUUUAACAACUUAAAGAUGUUUUAAAUAAAUAAACAAAUGUUUUAUUUCUUUUUCCUAUUAUAACUAGUUAAGAGCCUAUAUUUUACAUUUUUUGAAAAAUGUCUAUAAUGUGCAUUAUACUUCAAUAAAAACUAAAAUCUAGUUACAUGUCCAUCAGUUAACAGAAAAUCUAGAUUUCUAUAUCUUAUAUUUUGUUUACUAAAAUUUAUUUUUUCUGGCUUUCUGAGUAUCAAAGUCAGAAACAAAUACAACUAUUUCUAAACUUGUGGCUGUUUCUUGCUCAAUGGAAAGAGCAAGUAAAGUCAACCUGCUCUGUGUCAUACAACUUCAUUUAUAAAUAAUUUUUUAUCAAUCAGAACUAUAGAUCUUCUCCAGUUGAGUCACAUCAUUAUGUAGAUCUUACUGAUCACUUUCUGACAACAUUGAAUGCACUUACAAUUUUGUACUUGGUAAUAAGCAGAACAAUGAUAUUGAAUGUUUCUUCUUUAACCUUAAAAAAUUGCUGCUGCUUCCAGGCGUUUUUUUUCUUUGAGGAACACAAGGUAAUUUGUGUUAACAUCUUUAGUACAUCAAACUAUCUGGAUCAUUGCUGUUAGAGCAUCAUUCCUUGAUGACCACCUUGUAUAGCACAAUUUUUUGAGCAUCAUAUGAACUUAGAUACUUUCUUUAUUGUUUAAAGAGGUGCUCAUCUUGAUAUGCUGUGAGCUAAAAACUCUUCUACACAUUUUGUACUAACUCAUAGAAAUCUGCAACUUCUUUAACACAGCUAACAGAAUUUUUAUGAUCAAGUUGAAGUUGUCCCUAGCACAGGGAAUAUAAUGCAUAAGCUGCUGCUUUUAUUUAAGUCUAUUUUACUGUCCACUCAUAUUUGUUCAGCCGAUUCUGCAGACAUUCUCACUAAUAUGAAAACCUAGAAAGGGCUCCAGUUUUGAAGAUGUGAAGUUGAAAGAGAAAUAGCUUUCUGAUAGCUAUUAUCUAGUUUAAACAUUGUGUUUAAUAUGUUGUUGUUGUUUUUUUGUUGUUUUCUUAAGAACUUCUUCCAACACUACAUGGUAUGGUACAUGGAAAUCAAAUCUAUCACCAAUCUUAAAUUUCUUUAUUAGUGUCACUUAAAUGGUAAAAUUCAUGAUUACUAUAGAAUGAAAGGUUGUCAAACACAAACAUUUUAAGUAACAUUCUUUAUGUAUUACUUUCCACCAGUAAAUUUUAACUUUGGUCUUAGUUUCCGUCAUCUUCCAUUCUCAGUUGUUCAUAUUGUCUGUAUAUUUGGCAAGUUUGUUGGUACUCAUUGACUGUUCAUGACGCUGAACAUCUCUUUGUAAAAGCACCAAAGGCCACCAUCAAUGCACAGGGCUAGUCAGCAUUACAAUAAAUCUGAUCAAAGCAGUCCAAACAGACCCUAGCUGAAAAAUCUUCUUUUAAAAGUGCACUUUUUCCAUGUGGGCUUCCAGUUUUUCACAAAUAUGGGCCCAAGCUACAUCACAGGUUAUGGGCCCCUAAUGGUCAUGGGCCUGGGUUCAUUGAACCCCUUCUUGACAUGGAUCUUAUGCCACUGGCCUUUACUUCCCCAACAUGUGUCAAGUAUUAUCAGAACUAAGUGGACUCAGUGGCAUCCCAAAAAUCGCAAAAGUUUGGAAUCCCAGUCUUCACAAAAAAAAAGAUUUUUUUUAGCUGUUAUCACUUUGUUUCUAUAUAGUUUUCAAAAUGCCAAUGCUGCAAAGUAAAUGGCUAAGCCUAGUAAUAGUAUCUAGUGUUUAUGAAGCUUUUUUCUGUUAUAAUAUGUAUAAAGUCUUUGAAAUCUACGUUAUUUAAAGCUACACUUAUUAAUAUAUUUUAAUGAGGAGUUUGUUUCUUUUUUUCUUAUAUUUUUUACUUGAAAAUUAGAGCUGAUAGGAUGAAACAACUCAUUUUAACUGAGGUAUUGGUCAAAAACAAGAUGCUCUAUUACUAAUUUAUUUUUGCUAUUAUUAUGCUCUAAAAAAGUUGCAAAGGAUUAUUUAUGGUUCUGUUAAGCAAUUUUCAAAAGAUAUUCAUUAUAUAUGAUAUCUGUUCAUUGGUGUGACAGCUACUCAUAGGCUUUAUUUUAAGAAUAAUUAUGUAUAUUUUCCAACAUAUCUGUAAAACAUUUUUUACUUUAGAGUUUAGACUAAUACUAGAAUGUUUUUCUUCUUGGGAUACCUCAACUAAAGAAAGCAAAAAUGAUUCUCCCAAUUCCAAUUAUAGAGUUGUUAAGAUUUAUUGAACGAGUUUUUACAGUAUUAAGUACAACACUAUAUCUAAAAGCACUAUAUCUUAUAACUCAUAAUAAAGGCUUAACUCUUUCUCUCCAUAAUUAUUUACCACAUUCUGGUGGAAUCAACGCUGGUAUCGUCAGUUAGGAGAAAAAGAGUUAAGAUAAGAUGCUAUUAUAAAACCAUAGUUUAUAAAUACAGGGGAAAACAGUCCAACAAAAGACUAUGAACACAAAUUUAAAACAUAUAUUCUAUAUAUACAUCAGAAUAUUUUCUCAAUAAGUAACUAUUGAGCAUAGGUUGAACUAGUUUGAAAAAUAACAUAUUUAGCAUAAUUAAAAUUUUGGUUUAGUAAGUUGUACUAUAUAUUUGCAAGUUAUCACUGAUUCAUUGAUAAAGAAAUCUCUUAAACUGUCUUACAGAUCCACAUGAAAUUUUACACACAUUCCUUUUACCUCCUAGGCGCUCACUAAGAACCGGUUUUGUCAGAUUUGCAGCUAUUCGUGAAAAACCCCAAGAUUUCUAUCAAACCUUUGUAUUUUAUUUUCCUUGUGUCCCCAAAAGGCUGCAGUCUAUAUGUAUUAUAUUUAAAGAAUUAAAAAAUAUCACAUAAAUUUCAUAUUUUUAAAGCAAUUUUAUCUUUUUUCCUAAGUCUACUUAUUUUUUAUAUGCUUUAUGUCAUUUCCACUUAUUUUUUAGAUACAGUCCAAAAACCAAUCCUAUUAGCCUAGCAUUAAUAAGAUAGAACUAGAGUGUACUAUUUUAGAGAGAGAGAGGGAGAGAAACCAAGGAAUGGUACUUUUUAACAAAAAAAAAAACCAA